rnacentral:rRNA from 1 species
GGGUGACUGCGUACCUUUUGUAUAAUGGGUCAGCGACUUAUAUUCUGUAGCAAGGUUAACCGUAUAGGGGAGCCGCAGGGAAACCGAGUCUUAACUGGGCGUUAAGUUGCAGGGUAUAGACCCGAAACCCGGUGAUCUAGCCAUGGGCAGGUUGAAGGUUGGGUAACACUAACUGGAGGACCGAACCGACUAAUGUUGAAAAAUUAGCGGAUGACUUGUGGCUGGGGGUGAAAGGCCAAUCAAACCGGGAGAUAGCUGGUUCUCCCCGAAAGCUAUUUAGGUAGCGCCUCGUGAACUCAUCUUCGGGGGUAGAGCACUGUUUCGGCUAGGGGGUCAUCCCGACUUACCAACCCGAUGCAAACUACGAAUACCGAAGAAUGUUAUCACGGGAGACACACGGCGGGUGCUAACGUCCGUCGUGAAGAGGGAAACAACCCAGACCGCCAGCUAAGGUCCCAAAGUCAUGGUUAAGUGGGAAACGAUGUGGGAAGGCCCAGACAGCCAGGAUGUUGGCUUAGAAGCAGCCAUCAUUUAAAGAAAGCGUAAUAGCUCACUGGUCGAGUCGGCCUGCGCGGAAGAUGUAACGGGGCUAAACCAUGCACCGAAGCUGCGGCAGCGACACUAUGUGUUGUUGGGUAGGGGAGCGUUCUGUAAGCCGUUGAAGGUGGCCUGUGAGGGUUGCUGGAGGUAUCAGAAGUGCGAAUGCUGACAUAAGUAACGAUAAUGCGGGUGAAAAACCCGCACGCCGGAAGACCAAGGGUUCCUGUCCAACGUUAAUCGGGGCAGGGUGAGUCGACCCCUAAGGCGAGGCCGAAAGGCGUAGUCGAUGGGAAACAGGUUAAUAUUCCUGUACUCGGUGUUACUGCGAAGGGGGGACGGAGAAGGCUAUGUUGGCCGGGCGACGGUUGUCCCGGUUUAAGCAUGUAGGCGGAUGUUCCAGGUAAAUCCGGAACGUCACUAACGCUGAGGUGUGAUGACGAGGCACUACGGUGCUGAAGUGACAAAUGCCCUGCUUCCAGGAAAAGCCUCUAAGCAUCAGGUAACAUCAAAUCGUACCCCAAACCGACACAGGUGGUCAGGUAGAGAAUACCAAGGCGCUUGAGAGAACUCGGGUGAAGGAACUAGGCAAAAUGGUGCCGUAACUUCGGGAGAAGGCACGCUGAUGGUAAGUGAAG